rnacentral:misc_RNA from 1 species
AGUUUGAUCCUGGCUCAAGAUUGAACGCUGGCGGGAUGCUUUACACAUGCAAGUCGAACAGCACGGACUUCGGUCUGGUGGCGAGUGGCGAACGGAGUGAUAAAUAUCGGAACGUGCCUAGUAGCGGGGGAUAACUACGCGAAAGCGUAGCUAAUACCGCAUACGCCCUUCGGGGGAAAGCGGGGGACCUUCGGGCCUCGCACUAUUAGAGCGGCCGAUAUCGGAUUAGCUAGUUGGUGGGUAACGGCUCACCAAGGCGACGAUCCGUAGCUGGUUUGAGAGGACGACCAGCCACACUGGGACUGAGACACGGCCCAGACUCCUGCGGGAGGCGGCAGUGGGGAAUUUUGGACAAUGGGGGAAACCUGAUCAGCCAUCCCGCGUGUGCGAUGAAGGCCUUCGGGUUGUAAAGCACUUUUGGCAGGAAAGAAACGGCACGGGAUAAUACCCCGUGCAACUGAUGGUACCGCAAACCAGCACCGGCUAACUACGUGCCAGCAGCAUGAUAUA